AGCGGAGGCCAUCUUGGUUAUGCGAGCCACUAAGAAGAGACUGUAGUACCAUUUCAGUCUCCGGGCUGCGACUCCCUCGGGAGUCUUAAGCAGGAUCUGGCCCAAUCUUUUAAAAUGUUGACUCUAUGUGAAGGCUGGAUGAACCAGGGUAGGAUGAAGCAGGUGGCUCAGAGGGCGGUGAUGGUGGGAGCAGGGCUGAGGUAGGGGCUGGAGGAGAUUCUAGCAGGGAUGUUCAUGGGAUAUAGGGGGUAAGGAUGGUUUGGAAGCCAUCUAGACUCUCCCCAGAAUUCCCCGAGCCUUCACUGCCAGCCUUAAGCCUGCUGUUGCUCUUGACUGUGUUGUGGUCACAGGCCAGGGAAGCACCCUCGUCUCUCAUGGAUGAUGGCUCUCAGCUCAAUGCUUUGGGAACUGGAGCCUCAGUACCCCACAUUGUCAUGCCUGAGGUUCCUCAGCCAGGACCCAGAGUCCAAGUUUCUCUUUCUCUUCUUCUGAAUUCUGACCACACCUCUUAAAGGUCCUGCUAGUUCUUAUUAUCACCAUCCUGGGCUUAAAGCCUCUAACCACAAAAGGAUCUCUGGGGAAACAGCUAAUUGUAUCAAAAUUAAAAGCUCAAGUCAGGAAUGUUAUAAGUAACCUUUGUAAAAUUAGGCUUCAAGCAUAGAGAACUUAAUUAGCAUUCUAACAUUAACAGUUAAUGAAGUGGAAGUUGUAAUUGGGUCUUCAGAUCAGAUGUGGGGUAGGUCCAGGAGAAGAAUUUACAGAAAACACGAAAUUCAUGGAUGUCCCCACUACAUCCAGACUGAUGGCACACCUAUACCCGGCAGGAAGAGCCAGUCCUUAGAUAUUGCACAGGUUGCGCAAACAACCAGACCCUGCAGAUCAAAGAAUCUGGGAAUAUUUCAUACUUUAGCUCAUCACACAGUCCUGUAGAGCCAACAAUAGUGUUGUGCAUGUUAGCCAAAGCUUCAUCUUUGAGACAAGGUAAGACAAACUUUAAAAUGCGGUUUUUGCUUUAGAACUCCCUGCAAGGGGAGCACUUCUGAAAUCCCCACUCUCCUCUGGGUUUCCUCCUAUUCACCGCACUUGCAUAGGAGCCCUUUCUUAGGCAUCUUCCUCUGGACCCUUUGCCGGCUCUUAUGAGAACCUUCCAAUACACUCACUGGCUCUUCAGGUGUUGAAAACAGCACACAUCCUUGCUGAUAUCUAAGGCUACCUAGAAACCACUUCACGCAACAUUCUGGCAGCAAAAUAAAUAAAAUAACAAAGAGGAAUAAUAAUUAAUAAUAAUCUAUCGGGUGGAGGGAGCAGCCUGCUAGGCACAGUGAGAGGCUUUAGUGCUUUAGUUAGGCCUGGAUGCUGUCAGGAACAAAACUACCUAGUUGUUUAUAAAAAUUAAUCUAUUUCCAGGGCAUGAAAUAUAACUGUACCCAACUCAUGAAAUGCAUAGAGAUUAUGCAUAUACAUAUACAUAUACAUAUACAUAUACAUAUACAUAUACAUAUACAUAUACAUAUACAUAUACAUAUACAUAUACAUAUACAUAUACAUAUACAUAUACAUAUACAUGUGUGUAUGGUAAGAAUUUCAUAAAUGAAUAACUAUUAUUUUAAAUUAUACUCGAUUGAGGUCUUUUUUUUUCUCCCGUCACACUAUCAAAAGAGAUUUUUCUCCUAAUGUUUCUAAUCAAUAUACUCAUCAAUGCUUUAUUAUUUAAAACAUCUAGGAUCCAGAUAUUCAAUUUGUUUCCUAAAAAGUCAUGCAGACAGCAUUCAAAGUAUAUUGAAAAUAUCAUGCAUUAUUACUGUCUUCUGAGUGUGUGCACAAAGAACACAGCAUAUUAAAAACGGGGAGACAGUGGAAUUGAACUGUCCAAGCGAAGCAUCUUCAGGCCUCCAUGAUGCUUGAUUACAUCUCCAUCUUGUGUAAGAAUGUUGUGCUCCUUCAGUUUUAUUUAAACUUUGGAUGGACAAAACCCAGACAUGUGUCAGUCCAAGAAAUGUCCUUUACCAUUCUCAGUUGGAUGUCAGGUCUGCACUUGCACUUUGAGAAUAUGCUGGAUGGCACCUAAGCCAGGCAGUGAGACAAGCAUAAGACUAGAGCCACUGAGAGAGCCAGGACACAAUGAACUCUAGGCACACACAAGGAUGCCAAGGUUUUAAACUUUGGAGUCCAACUUGUAUUAUAUUUUCUUUUGUAUUUUGUGUCUUUAAAAUUUUAUCUUGAGCUAAGUAUAAUUUUUCUAUGUUUCUUUAUUAAAAAUUCAUAGCUUUGG
rnacentral:lncRNA from 1 species